rnacentral:pre_miRNA from 1 species
CUAAUACUCCAUCCGUCCGAAAAUACUUGUCCGAGGAAUGGAUGUAUCUAGAUGUAUUUUAGUUCUAGAUACAUCCAUUUCUAUCAUUUUUGUGACAAGUAAUUCCGGACGGAGGGAGUAGAAU